UACGGAGGGUGCAAGCGUUAUCCGGAUUCACUGGGUUUAAAGGGUGCGUAGGUGGGCAGGUAAGUCAGUGGUGAAAUCUCCGGGCUUAACCCGGAAACUGCCGUUGAUACUAUCUGUCUUGAAUAUAGAGGAGGUGAGCGGAAUAUGUCAUGUAGCGGUGAAAUGCUUAGAUAUGACAUAGAACACCAAUUGCGAAGGCAGCUUACUAAGCAAAUAUUGACGCUGAGGCACGAAAGCGUGGGGAUCAAACAGG
rnacentral:rRNA from 1 species